CAUUUAUACGAAAAAAUCAACCCCUUGUCAGCACCCUCCAUCAACACCCCUUGUGACAAAAAUCUCAACUGAAAUAAUGUCAGUGAUACUUUAUUAGAAAGGUCUGUCAAUUCCUGUAUCCAACUCUAUACAUCCUUUUUUUACCGUACAACGUUAAGCAAUGCCAGAAUAAAUAAAAAUAGGUUGGCACUGCUACCGCACGUGAGAAGGCGAAAGAUGACACAUUCUCCUAUUCUAUUAAUGCACCUACUAGUUCGCCACGAGCCGAAUGGCUCUUCCUGCAGACGCUAAAGUGUCAUCUAAGCAUAGUCCGCUCACGCCUCCUAUAUGCGGGUACCAGUACUACAGUAUUGAAGGUGUCGCCCACUAAAUUAUUCCCUUCUGAAAUUGUUUAAACAUGAUAGAUUGUGGGAGGGGGCAAAGAUAUUGAUAUUUUGCGUAGAAAAUAAUUUGCCCCCACACUCAAAUAGAGAUUGAUCCAUCGCUAUAUUACAUUUAAGUUCUUAACAUGGAAUCCAGUGCCUUACAAUUUUUUUCCAACCGCGUGCGCAAAGUACUAACAUUGCGCAUUCAUUUAUAUGCAUGCGCAAAGUUGAACUUGCGCACGGAAACGCUUUGGAUUUCGAGUUCUUUCACUUGCACUUCAAAUAUGAUGCCUCGCAUAUGAGGAUCACAAUGCAACGCACUUUCGUCGGAAGGCUCACGCACCAGCAACGAAAUGAAAUUUAACGAAGGUAAGAAAAAAAUCCAGUCAGAAUCUGUAGACGGUGACGGCGGUAGGAAACGGCGGAACGGGGGAGUGCUUCGGGCGUUACCAGAAAUUUUCGGUCUCUCGCUUGCUUCUGGACAACGUGCGGCCGGCGAUGGUAAGCUCCAGCUCGCAGCUGCCUCCAGCCCCAAGUAACUUGAAUAGAAAUUCUAAAGGGCAAGUGGUGGGCGGCUAGUAGUGAAUUUUCUAAAUGCAAUUUCAC